rnacentral:tRNA from 1 species
GGAGAAGUGUCUGAGCGGUUUAAAGUACUGGUCUUGAAAACCAGCGUAGUGAGAACUACCGAGGGUUCGAAUCCCUCCUUCUCCU